rnacentral:rRNA from 1 species
CCUACGGGGGGGCAGCAGUGGGGAAUUUUGGACAAUGGGCGCAAGCCUGAUCCAGCAAUGCCGCGUGAGCGAAGAAGGCCUUCGGGUUGUAAAGCUCUUUUGUCAGGGAAGAAACGGCCGAGGCUAAUACCUUUGGCUAAUGACGGUACCUGAAGAAUAAGCACCGGCUAACUACGUGCCAGCAGCCGCGGUAAUACGUAGGGUGCAAGCGUUAAUCGGAAUUACUGGGCGUAAAGCGUGCGCAGGCGGUUUUGUAAGUCUGACGUGAAAUCCCCGGGCUCAACCUGGGAAUUGCGUUGGAGACUGCAAGGCUGGAGUCUGGCAGAGGGGGGUAGAAUUCCACGUGUAGCAGUGAAAUGCGUAGAGAUGUGGAGGAACACCGAUGGCGAAGGCAGCCCCCUGGGUCAAGACUGACGCUCAUGCACGAAAGCGUGGGGAGCAAACAGGAUUAGAUACCCUGGUAGUCCACGCCCUAAACGAUGUCUACUAGUUGUCGGGUCUUAAUUGACUUGGUAACGCAGCUAACGCGUGAAGUAGACCGCCUGGGGAGUACGGUCGCAAGAUUAAAACUCAAAGGAAUUGACGG